AAGCCGAGGCCAGGGCUCUCGGAACACGCUGGCUCUGAGGCCCAUCCUAUUCGGGGUUGUUCUCUGCUCAGUUAAACUCUGUUCAAUACAGCGUGUCUAAGGUUUUUCCCUUUUGACAGGCUCCAGGACUGAAGCCGCAGAGGCCACUCCCACAGGUCACCAGAAACUAAGACGUGAGUGACGCCCGGCAGUGGCCGACUCUUCCGCCGUGGCUGUGCCCAUGGGAGACGUGAGUGACGCCCGGCAGUGGCCGACUCUUCUGCGGUGGCUGCGCCCACGGGAGACGUGAGUGACCCCGGCAGUGGCCGACUUCCACGGUGGCUGCGCCCACGGGAGACGUGAGUGAUGCCCGGCAGUGGCCAACUCUUCUGCGGUGGCUGUGCCCACGGGAGACGUGAGUGACGCCCGGCAGUGGCUUACUCUUUCGUGGUAGCUGCGCCCACGACUUCUGGAGACAUCAGAGGCUUCCAGGCCCCACUGUUUUCUGCAUUUGGCCACUGCCCACGCUUCUGGGGCUGAGGUCUCCCUCUUGGGGCCCUUUUCAGCCCCUAAAGAUCUCCUAGCCUCCGAACCUGAAAUGGCUCCCCCAAAUUGCAGAGGAGGUGGGGAAGUGGCAGCCACAGCUCAGUCACCAGCCUGCUCUGCCGCCUGUGAAGCUGCAGCUGGCAGCAACACCCCAACCAAAAUAGUGGCUGAGACGUGCCCGACAGCUGGCGUUUAUUUCUGUAUUAGCAGAAUCGGGUGGGAGUCAGCACCUGCCUGACCCGGCUGCAGCAUGCCAGACGCCGUCACCUGCUGCCUGGGCCCUGGAACCCUCCGCAAGGUGGGGGCUGGGAGAUGGCCUUGUGUAGGGCAAGGCCUCUGCUGACCCUGCUGCUGGGCCCCCACCGGGCCCUGGGCCUCUGUCUCAGCAUGGCAGACUGGAGGCCUCCCUGCAGCCUGUCCUGGGGGGGCUCCUGGGGUGGGGCUGGGCCUGACCAUCUCUGGGUUCUCAGCACAGAGGCCGUCAAAACGUCAGGCAGGCUGGGCUGUGAGACUGUGGGUGCAUUAUGUGUGCUCUCAGGCCUCAGUCUCCUCAUCUGUGGUAUGGGGGUGCUGACGCCACCCCACUGACGGGCUCAGAAACGAGUGAAGGAUAAAAUGCACCGAGACUCCGUGCCCACCUCUCUGUUAUCCACACCAGCCUGGCCUCACGCAGAGACUCUGUGCCCCUCUCCUGCUCUAGAUACCAGCCAGGCCUCACGGCAGCCCUUGCUGGGCCCUGCAUUAACUCCCCCAGGCCUUGGACUCUGAGAGUUGGGACUCUCGUCUGGCCCAGGUGACAGAGGAGGAAACUGAGAAGCAGAGAGCCACGUGACUCACCUGUGGGUGGACUGUGGGAAUCGCCAAGCUCGGAUGAGAACCACGUGGGCAGUUCCAGGCCCGAGGCCGCCCACCCCGGGGGGAGAGGCUCCCCGGAGCAUCUGAGUCUGCAGCCCACUGGGGUGUCCGCCCGUGCAGCCACCAAGCCUGCUGGCCCUAGUACACCUCGCCACGCUCCCUCAGCCCGAGAGAGCCGGCCGGGCUGGCUGCAGCCCCAGAGGAGGUUCCCUCUCUUACCCAGAGGGGAGCAGGGUGAGCCGCGUGUCCACGGCACCCCCAGCCCAGAUCCCCGGAGCCCACAGCCUUGGCCUUGAUGGAGCGUGGACCUAGGACGUGGACACCCACGUUCUGUGGCUGCUCAAGUGAUCCUCCAGCCUUGGUGAGGACGGCCUCAAGACCCACGUGUGCGGGUAAAGACUCCGCAGCAUGCGGCCGAAGGACGGCCCGGUGUACGGGAUCCGUAUGCAGACCCUGCCUUUGACGCCUGUGUGUACCCGCGGCGCCCGCCGCCUCGUCCUUGGCUCCAGGCUGGCACUGCUGGGCCGCAAGCCGGGCUCCUCGGGUGCCUUCCCCAAAGUCUUCCCAGAGCUGCCGCGGGAGGGCGGACAGGCGUGCUGGACCCUGAGCAUGCUGGACCAGGGCCCAGCAGCAGGCCACUUGGGAGAGCCAGCGGUUCUAAGCAUUUGUAAAUAAAUCCAAUUCCCCAACUUUCUCAUGCGUUUCAAAGCUGCCACGCCGCCUUCUCCUGCCAGCGCCUCCCCAUUCCCCACGAGUGCAUCCACCAGGCCCUCGAGCAGUGCCGGCUGCCGGCCUGUUUUUCUCUUUGGAUGGCUGAACAGGGGCCAACCGGCCAUCUGUUGAGGACAUCAGGAGCAUGAGCUGGGAAACGAGGUCCCGGGAGGUCUGAGGAGCCAAACAUCCUCCCUCCCUCAUCAGCCCCUCCCCAGGGGCCUCCUCUUGGUCAGUUCGGGAACCGGCUGGUCGCUGUUAGGGCGGGGAGAACAUCUGGAUCCCUGGCUGGCUGGGGCCAGCUGAGGCCAGCUGGGAGCCGGGGCGGUGGGUGGGGCUGCAUCCCCCAGCUUCUGGAAGGCCUGACCCUUGGGCUGCGUGUGGGGCAGGCUCAGGAAAGGGUGCAGAGAACCCAGGACUGGGCAGCAUCAGCGUAGGGGCCGGAUGCACAGCAGCCCUCGGCAAGCAGGGAAUGUUUCCUCAAGGCCUGCGGAAUGGGGUGGGGACUGUGGGAACCUCCGGCAGUGCCUCCUUCAAGGCAGUGUCCCCACUCUGUCCCCAGGAGCCCAGGGCACCCGGGGAGGUGUCACCACUAAAAUGCUACACACACUGAGCUGGUCAAAAUGCCCCAACUCCACCACUGAACGGAAGUUCUGCCUGCAGAACUUCUGAAGCUGCCCUCUGCACAGAUGGGCGCUCAGGCUGGGGAACUGGUGUUUGCAAUGACGGCGGCGGUGGCUGAGGCACUAGUUGAGCUACAAGGGCUUUCGCGGACUCCGCUGCUCUGCCAAGCACCCAGCUAAAGCCUCCCUGACCGUGGGCUCUGCCAUAGAGGGGCUGUGGCCUUGGGCUGGUCAUUUAACCUCUCUGACCCUUGCUGUAUCUGCAAACUAGCGCUGUGGAGCCUCUGGCCGAGACAGACUCCGGGGAGCUCCGGGUGAAUCAGCUCAGUCCUUUCCCACCACCCCGUGAGGGAGAUUCACCACCCCAACUACGAGAGAGAGGGCCCAAGCCAGGGCUGGGGUUCCAGCCAAGCAGGCCCCCACUCUCUCCGGCCCCUCAGCCACGAUUCCUGCCGUUUCUAGGAUGAUGUCUUCAAGGACUGCGUGAGAGUACCCCAGACUGGGCCUGGCGGGCUGUGGAUGUCUUGGGAAGGUGCUACCCCUCCCCCAGCCCAGGCCACAGUCAGGAACACCGAGGCCCAAGGGGACUGGCUGGGGGUCACUCCCACUCGGCACCUCCUGUCUGGCCUGGGAAGGUCGGACUCCCCCACUGCACUCUGUGUCUGAAGGGGCUGCG
rnacentral:lncRNA from 1 species